rnacentral:rRNA from 1 species
GACGGGUAUCCGGCCUGAGAGGGUGAACGGACACACUGGAAUUGAGACACGGUCCAGACUCCUACGGGAGGCAGCAGUAGGGAAUAUUGCUCAAUGGGGGAAACCCUGAAGCAGCAACGCCGCGUGGAGGAUGAAGGUUUUCGGAUUGUAAACUCCUUUUCUAAGAGAAGAUUAUGACGGUAUCUUAGGAAUAAGCACCGGCUAACUCCGUGCCAGCAGCCGCGGUAAUACGGAGGGUGCAAGCGUUACUCGGAAUCACUGGGCGUAAAGAGCGCGUAGGCGGGACAGCAAGUCAGAUGUGAAAUCCUAUGGCUUAACCAUAGAACUGCAUUUGAAGCUGUUAUUCUA